CUCUUCCGCACACAGAGGAAGAAGAAACCAAGAAACAGAGUAACGCUAACUCACAAACACUCUCUCUGGAAGACUAGAACUUUGUUGUCUCUGUUGCUUUUUUAUCUCAGCAAUGUAGCUCCCAGACAAAAAUCUGUUUCGAAAUGGCCAAAUGUCACCGAAAUAACAUCGGAUCCUUAAUCCUUGAUCACUCCUCCGCCACCAAUGCGUCCGCUGGCGGCCAUUUCAGAUUUUCCACUGCCUUCUCCCCUGCUGCAUUCCGCCGUAAAAUUUUUGACGCUGUUAGCUGUGGUGGCAGCUCCCGCUAUCGCCACCAUGAUGACGACUUUUCCUCCACCACGACAACAACAACCACCACCACGACCACCAUUGCAAGUAUCAUGGCGUUGUCAGGUAACAAUAAUGCCAGUGUGAAAAAGACAGGGAGAGCGAGAAAUGGAAAGUCGGAGAAGUUAUCGGAUCUGUUGAGUAUUGCAGAAGUGGAGACUGAAAUCGAGACGAAGAAGAAAGUCGAGGCAUUGGAAGAGCUGAAACGAGUAGU
rnacentral:misc_RNA from 1 species